UACGUGGGGGGCAAGCGUUGUUCGGAUUUACUGGGCGUAAAGCGCACGUAGGCGGAUCGUUAAGUCGGGGGUGAAAUCCUGGAGCUCAACUCCAGAACUGCCUUCGAUACUGGCGAUCUUGAGUCCGGAAGAGGUGAGUGGAACUCCUAGUGUAGAGGUGGAAUUCGUAGAUAUUAGGAAGAACACCAGUGGCGAAGGCGGCUCACUGGUCCGGUACUGACGCUGAGGUGCGAAAGCGUGGGGAGCAAACAGG
rnacentral:rRNA from 1 species